GUCGGUAACUCAGAAAAAUGAUGUAACUUACCGGCCGGCUUUCUGGCUUCCUUCACUUCUUCAGAGAAAGAGAAGAGGCCGCGUGAAGGGGAACAUUAGAAAGUUUUAGCUGAAUUAAAUAACUCAGUUUUAUCAAAAAUAGUGAAAAGACGAAAGGUUUUUUUAGUGCGACUCCCGACAGUUCAGAAUGAAUUCAGCUCGUCGUUGUUCCGCUUUGUUCAGCCAAAUAUGCGUCUCAUCAGCGGGGGGACAGCCAGCCCGGACACCACUUCCACCGGCUGGGUCAGCCUCUACUGGAGCCCACUGUUGUCACAGUGGCCCCGCAGGAGGGGGAGUCAGAAGAACCGGUGGCCCGCUGAAGCCGAGUGCCGCAGCCAGCAUCAUAACAGCACCAGUUUGUCCAAUGGGCAGCAGUAGCAGUUGCAGGUUGUUUGGGACGAUGGCCCAGGCGUUGAGCAGUUCCUCUCUGACCCAGCCUGACCCGGACCUGGAUCAAGAGCAGGACCUGGUGGAGGUGGAGCCGGAGGAGCUGCUCAGAGAGUGUGAGGAGGCACUGCGGCGGCGCCCUGCCCGGCCUCACCGGGACCUGGUUCUGCCCAAGCUGGUGGCUCCCUGCAGCCACCAGCACAACCCAUCCAUACGGGUCCUGCAGUGGAACAUCCUGGCCCAAGCUCUGGGUGAGGGGAAGGACAGCUUCAUUCGCUGCCCACUAGAGGCUCUCAACUGGCAUGAGAGGAAGUACCAGAUCCUGGAGGAAAUUCUCACCUACCGACCCGACAUUGUGUGUCUGCAGGAAGUCGACCACUACUAUGACACUUUUCAGCCAAUUAUGGCGCGCCUCGGUUACCAUGGUAACUUCCUCCCCAAACCCUGGUCUCCCUGUCUGGAUGUGGAGCACAACAACGGCCCCGACGGCUGUGCGCUGUUCUACCGCCGCUCGCGCUUCCACCUGCACUCCACAGCCCACCUGCGGCUGUCGGCCAUGAUGCUGCCCACCAACCAGGUGGCCAUCGCCCAGACCCUUGGCUGCCUGGCCACAGGCCGCCAGCUGUGUGUGGCCGUCACACACUUGAAGGCCCGCAGCGGCUGGGAGAGGCUGCGGAGUGCGCAAGGCGCUGACUUGCUGCAGAGCUUGCAGGGCAUCACGGCCCCUGGAUCAGAGGUUGGGCAGGGGCCCGUCCCUCUAGUGGUUUGCGGGGACUUCAACGCUGAGCCCUCAGAGGACAUCUACAGGCGCUUUAGUUCCUCCCCUCUGGGCCUGAGCUCCGCCUACAAGCUGCUGAGCAGUGACGGGCAGACAGAGCCGGCGUACACCAGCUGGAAGAUCCGCCCAUCUGGAGAGAGCUGCAGCACUCUAGACUACAUCUGGUACAGCGAGCGCACCCUGAGGGUGGAAGCGCUGCUGGACAUCCCAACAGAGCAGCAGAUCGGACCCGACCGCCUGCCCUCAUACCACUACCCCUCAGACCACCUGGCCCUGCUCUGUGACAUCAGCUUCAGGGAGGGGCCUCACAGGCUGCUGUAGGCAGCCAAUCACAGCUCCAGCUGAAACCAGGACAGCCACAUCAGAGGAACCUGACCUUUGACCUGAUGCUGUUUGUGUGAAGCUGGCUGCGGUAGAAUCUCUUCUGCUGGAACUCUGAUGGGAGCUGUGAAGAGGAGGUGCUGGAACACACAGGAGGGAAAAUGUGGAGCUGGUUCCACUUUCUGAGUGUAAACAGGAGGAAUGAAGGUGAAGUCAGCCUGACGGGUUAGAAACGGAAAGCAGAAUGCUCUGAAAGGAAGACAGCGGGACCUAACACUAAGAGGUAAAACAUCAGUCACAGCCAGAGGACAAACAAAGGUUCUGGUGGGUUAAAGAGGAGCAGACAUGUCCUGUUUGAUUGGAUCAAAGGCAUGUUCAGCUGAUGAAUCACUAAUCUGCCUUAGAGAAGUUGAUUCCCAAGUCCCUAGAGAUUUCAGCACAUUAAGUCUAAACUCUGUUUGUGGUAAGUGGACACCUCUUAAGCUGAUAAUGACUUAUUCUUUUGUUGUAGCCAUUGUUUCUUCUACUCACCUGUUAUUCUCUGAGAGACAUGUGAAAACUUAUGUGAAGCAAACAUCAGUCCAUGCUUCUGUGACUCAGUUCAUGUUGACAUCAUUCUGUCCUGUUUGUCCAAUCAGACCCACAUACCUUCACUGUUUGAUGAAACCAAAGAAAGUUCUGAUUAUUUCAGCAUCAUCGCUGCAGGGGCAGCAGAAGACAGUCCAGUGAACUCUGUCACAUCAGAGGACAGACAGGGAGACGAUUCCUUCUGAGAGAAACAAGAUGUGAAAGUGGACUUUUGAAAUUCAGAUCUGUAGUCACAUCUAUGAAAUUAUCUUAAAUACUGCAGAAUUAUACAGUUCAGGUUUUUUUGGAACCAGCAGGUGGUGCAAACCAUCACUGACUGUGGAAUCUUAACACUGGACUUCAUUUCUGUGCCUUUCUUCCUGAAGACUGUGGCAUCUUGAUCUCCAAAUGAAAUGAAAACUUUCAUCUGAAAUGAAGAGACUUCUCUGUAUCACAUGACCUGAAUAUGAGUGCAUGUGACCUGAAAAUCUCCACCAAACUCUUAAACAUCCUUUGAUCCUCAAUUUUUUAAACCACACUUUUUUCUUCCAUUCAAUUUUCCAUCGAUGUGUUUUUGUCUAACACCAUGAACAGUCAGCUUCUUCAGCCUUCUGUUCUUUACUCUCCUUGUGGAAGGUGUCCAACCUCAUGAACAUCAUUUCUCAUGGGUCUGAUGGAGUUUUUGAAUUGGGAUGAUGGUGGUGACUGGGAGCUCAUCCCUCAGUCAAUGGGUUGCUAGUUUAAUUCCUGCUCUGUCUGUCUGCAUCUGAUGUUGUUUACUUGGGCAAGACCCUUCACCCACCUUUCCUGCUGGUGAAGGUCAGAGAGCCUGGUGGUGUUGGGAGCAUGGCAGCCUGGCCUCUGGGAGCUGGACACGUACAAUUCCUGUUUUCUUAACCCUCUGAUGUGUAAGUGGGUAAUUUUUGACCCGGUAAGAUCAUCUUUUUGCAAUAUCUUUGUAAUGAAAAGUUUUCAUCACUUCAUAUUCCAGGUAUUCCUCAAAUAUGUUACUGAUAUCAUGUAAUUAAAAUUUUUUAUUUACCUUUCAUACAUUUAGAAAAAUAGCAUGUAGGCAUAUCACUACCCCAUUAAGUGGGUCAAAAAUGACCCUCGUUCAUUUCCUAUGGAAUUUAAUGGGAAUCUUUGUUUCUUACCAACUGGGACUGUCAGGAAAACAUUUUUUGUGAACCAUAAACACUGAGUCCUAAGUAAUAACUGAGUAAUAAUAUUUUACACAGUAAGAACUCUAUUAUCUCUAUUUUCUACCUCACAAAUGUGUGUAUGUGUGUGUGAGUCAUGAGUACCGUGACAGUUAGUGUCACGAAUCAACAUAUUAGCCUUCUUCAAAGUUAGCCAACACUAGUUAUCUAACCAACUGGCUGACAUCACUGCCUACACUUUAUUGUGCAUGGUGUGUCUGACACCCCAGAUGAGAAAACCAAGAGAAAAUGUAUUGAAUGACAUGCAAAACCUGUUGAUCAAUGUGUUCAAGGUUUUUUCUUUUAUCAUCUCAAUAAAUAAAAUUUUAAAAAUGAUAAAAAAAAGUCUACAUUCCCACCCUCAUGUGUGGUCAUGAGCUUUGGCUCAUGACUGAAAGAACGAGAUCACCCAUACAAGCAGCUGAAAUGAGUUUUCUUGGUCAUCGUGGAAUAGACCAGUGGCGCCAUCUUCUGGGGAAACCCUGAUUGUGCAAAGAAAACUGUUCUUGUCACCUUUGCACACCUACACCAAGUAGAUUUGUAUAUUUUAUUUUCUUAAAAUUUGAUUUUAAGAAAAUAAAAAGGCAAAAAAAAAAGUACUUUCAAACUAUUUCUGAAAAUCUGCAACAUUGAGCAACACUUGCAGCUGUAUAUUCUACAUUACUGACAGGAAAAGAUCUUCCAUCUGUUCAUUUCUCAGAACUAAAGGCUGUGAAGUCAUUUCUACACACCUGAAUAAAAAAGUCACACUGUUUUCUUUCACAUUUGUAUUUUUUUAUAAUACAUAUUUCAGUAAAAUCUACUUCAAUACACUGAUAGUACAAGAAAAAAAAAUAGUAUAUUAUGCUUCAAAUGCAGGGCUUACUUAGUUCACUGACAUGGAUGCAGACAUCCUAUUGAUUCCCUUUUAAGGAAAAGUAAA